rnacentral:rRNA from 1 species
CGGACGGGUGAGUAACGCGUGGGUAACCUGCCUUAUACAGGGGGAUAACAGUCAGAAAUGGCUGCUAAUACCGCAUAAGCGCACAGAGCUGCAUGGCUCAGUGUGAAAAACUCCGGUGGUAUAAGAUGGACCCGCGUUGGAUUAGCUAGUUGGUGGGGUAACGGCCCACCAAGGCGACGAUCCAUAGCCGGCCUGAGAGGGUGAACGGCACAUUGGGACUGAGACACGGCCCAGACUCCUACGGGAGGCAGCAUG